GGGGAAACGAGGGAACUCGCCUACACAGACGGCGAUUCUCGACCACGGUGGACAUCCUCAGCCGUCACAGACGGCGGCGGCUGAGAGUUGUGGGAUGUCGUUAUAUAGCGGUCACUUGGGGUCGGAUGUGAUAUGGGCGCCCACUGCAAGACAACCGCCACCGCACUACUGAUCGGAGUGUGUCUGACCUUUUGAUUCUCUCUCUCUCUCUCUCAUGGGACUGUUAAAAAUUUUUAAUUUAUCACAAGUGCUUUGUUUAUCAUUCUAAGUUCCCUUUAUAAAACUUUGCAAAGAACGUCUCAAGUUUUUAUGCAUAUUGUUGGAAUUUGGAAACUUGUCCAAAAGUAUAAACUUUUGAACAUAAUAAUGGAUGGUUAAGUUUAAUCUUCCCUUACGAAUGGCUCUAUUGGCAACAGUUUCUCGAGUUUCUAAUGGUUCGAUUGGCAACAGCAACCUCCAACAGAAUCCUUAAAACCCAGCUUCAAACAGAUUAGAGGGAGAAAAUACAAAAAAACUCAGUUCAGCUACAAUGCUUUCCCACACAUGGGGAGGCACUGUUCAUCCUUACCCUUUUUUCAAGUUUGAAGAGAGAGAGAGAGAUAUGAUAUAAGAGAAAACAGAGCUCUCUCUAUGAACCGAAACGAAAACCCUCCGUACUAAAACCUUCUAUCUAUUGAAAAGAAAAUAUUUUAUUUCGUAGUUGAAAAUGUUUAUUUUGUUUUUUAUGUUUUAAGAGUGUGUGUUUAAAAUUAGAUCAAAAUAAGUUCUUGUCAUCAAGAAAAAUUAAAAAUACAAUAUUUUGUAAAUGAACCGAGCGGUUUGCUAUCGGGAUCGGGUUCAGUUUGUUUGAUAAAUAAACAAGCUCGAGGCUAAGUAGCAUAAGUAUAAAUCUCGCUUAAUAAAUGAGUCCAGCUCGAGUUUAUUAAAGCUUUGCUUUAAUUAAGUAAAAAAAAUAUGAUAAAAUAUAUAUUAAUACAUAAUUAUAAAGAGUGAAAGUAUUCAUAUUUUGUUGUAUAUAAAAUGUAAGACAUAGUUGAUAGCUUGAAUAAAAAUAAUAAAAUUUAUUUAUAAUUUUACUUAUUUAAUAAUAUAAAUAUAUAAUUUAUUUCGCUCAUUAAGAAUUGUAAGUCUAGACUAACUUAACUCAUUGUUAGAUUUUUAUUAAAUUCAAAUUUAAAUUCGCUAAAAUUGUAAUAAACAAACCCGAAGGCAGCAAAGCUCCAAUCGGCCCCUAAUUACUGCUCCAAUGGAAAUCGUAACGGGGGGAUUGGAUUGGGUUGGUGGGUUUGGGUAGGCUUUGAAGUUUGAGACUGAUCCUUUAUCGAGAGAGAGAGAGAGAUUUACUCUGGUCGGGUCUGCUCUGAGUCUGCCUGAAGAGAUAAUGCUUUGAUGAUGAUUCGACAACUACUCUAAUGAUAGGCCCAUUGCAGGGUAGAACGUGGUUGUGGUUGUUUCUCCAAUUCUUUUCAGUGCAGCACACACACACAACUAGAUAUCGAGAGAUAUGAUAGAGAAAAAUUAGAUCGCAGAGAUUUUUCUUUGUGCGGUGCUCUGCUUUUUCCCUUUCCCAAAUAAGCCCACAACUUUGAUUACCGCUGCUCUGAUUAGUAACUGUACGUUGCUUUGUCUCUUUCUGUGGCCCCUAAAACUGAAAGGGAAAGGAGCAAAAGAGGGUCAGAGAGAAGUUUUUCUCUCACGAUUGAAACAUGUAACAGAUUCUUCUAUUUUAUACUGAUCUUUUUAAGUUAUGAAUUAAUGCAUAAAGCACUUUUAAAAAAAUUAUUUCUUUUUAUUUUUUUGAUAAAUGAUGUUAAUUUGACGUCAGGAGUGCUUUGUUUAUUAACCCAGAACUUUAGGGUAGUCAAUGGAAAAUGAGAGAAUCUGUUACAAGUUUCAAAUAUCAGGAAAGAUCAUAUAAUUUCUCAAACAAUAGGAGUACUUUGUGUAUUAACUUAGAAUCUCAGGGGAGGUCAGUGUAAUUUACCAUUUUUAUUUUUGUAAAGUCUAAAUUAAAAAAUAUUUGUGUUUAGUUUAUCUCAGUUAGAGCAACUCCUAUCCAACUCUAAAAUCUCCAUUUUAAAAACCUAAAUAGACUCCAAUUCAUCUCCACUUGAAGCCUGCAAAAUGGAACCCUUCAUUUCAGUUUCCAAAUUUGGAGGCUGAUCAAAAUUUUGAAGACCCAUCAUCAUUUUGAUUGUUAACUUUUUUAAUUUACAAAAUUUCAACUUUAUCAUUUAAAUUUUUAUACCAUCUAUAUUAUAUGUAUUUUUUAUUAUAUUUUGAUAAAAUACAUAGAACUUUCGAUAUAUAUCUUAUUUCAAUCAAGUCAGUAUUUUUGAAAAGAUUUUUAAAAUGAAAUCAAUAUUAAAUAUAUUUAAUAAUUUUUUAAAAAAAUAUUAUUUUAAAUUUUGAGUGAAAAAUAAUUGGAGGAAAGUUGAAUUAUGUAUGGAUGAGUUAUAAAUUUUAAAUUUUGGAGUCAACCCCCUUGAUUUUUCUACCU
rnacentral:lncRNA from 1 species